rnacentral:rRNA from 1 species
UACGUAGGGUGCGAGCGUUGUCCGGAAUUAUUGGGCGUAAAGAGCUUGUAGGCGGUCUGUCGCGUCUGCUGUGAAAAUCCGGGGCUCAACCCCGGACUUGCAGUGGGGUACGGGCAGACUAGAGUGUGGUAGGGGAGACUGGAAUUCCUGGUGUAGCGGUGAAAUGCGCAGAUAUCAGGAGGAACACCCGAGUCGGCGAAGGCAGGUCUCUGGGC